rnacentral:lncRNA from 1 species
GUACUUACCAUUGCCAGGGCGUAGUCAAAGGCUCCUGGACUUUACUAUAACUGCCAGGGCGUAGUCAAAGGCUCCUGGUCUUUACUAUACCUGCCAGGGCGUAGUCAAAGGCUCCUGGACUUCCUGUCUGAGACUAUUGGAUCAUUCAGCAUUCACCCACAUCAACAAUAACUAUGCAAUGCAACAUAUUCGUGGAUACUAAUGCAAUCAACCUAUUGCAUAAUCAUGAUGCAUGAGAUAUGCUAAAACAUUCCAUUGUGCAAUUCAAAGAGUUAAGUUUAGUUCCACUCACCUCUGGCUAACUGGACUGACUCUGCAGGCUCUUAAAACUCGGGAGCAGAACUCACUGCUGCUCUCUCUGGUUCCUC